rnacentral:rRNA from 1 species
UACAGAGGUGGGCAAGCGUUGUUCGGAAUUACUGGGCGUAAAGGGCGAGUAGGUGGCCAUCUAAGUCAGACGUGAAAUCCCCCGGCUUAACCUGGGAACUGCGUCUGAUACUGGACGGCUUGAGUAUGGGAGAGGAAUGUAGAAUUCCAGGUGUAGCGGUGAAAUGCGUAGAUAUCUGGAGGAAUACCGGUGGCGAAGGCGGCAUUCUGGACCAUUACUGACACUGAAUCGCGAAAGCUAAGGGGAGCGAAACAGGG